rnacentral:rRNA from 1 species
GACGAACGCUGGCGGCAUGCUUAACACAUGCAAGUCGAACGAAAAGGCCCGGCUUUUGUUGGGGGCUCGGUGGGCGAACGGGUGAGUAACACGUGAGUAACCUGCCCUUGACUUUGGGAUAGCUGCUGGAAACUGGGGCUAUUACGGGAUAGAAGCUCCUGCUGCAUGGUGUGGGUUGGAGAGGUACGGUGGUUGGGGAUGGACUCGCGGCUUAUCAGCUUGUUGGUGGGGUAGUGGCUGACCAGGUCUUUGGCGGGUAGCAGACCUGGGCGGGUGACCGGACAAACUGGACCUGGGAUAAGGCACAGCCUACAAUGGGACGCAGCAGUGGAGAAUGUAACACAAUAGGCGGAAGCCUGGUCUAGCACAGCAGCGUGCGGGAUGACGUCAUUGGGGUUGUAAACCGAUGUCCUCUGUGCCGAAGAGAGAGUGACGGUAAUGGGUAAAGAAGCCCCGGCUAACUACGUG